UACAGAGGGUGCAAGCGUUACUCGGAAUUACUGGGCGUAAAGCGUGCGUAGUCGGUUAUCUAAGUCGGGUGUGAAAUCCCCGGGCUCAACCUGGGAAUUGCAUUCGAUACUGGAUAGCUAGAGUUCGGCAGAGGGAAGUGGAAUUUCUGGUGUAGCGGUGAAAUGCGUAGAUAUCAGAAGGAACAUCAGUGGCGAAAGCGACUUCCUGGACCAGAACUGACGAUCAGGCACGAAAGCGUGGGGAGCAAACAGG
rnacentral:rRNA from 1 species